AACGCUGGCGGCGUGCCUAAUACAUGCAAGUCGAACGGUCUUUUCUAUGGAAGCUUGCUUCCACUGAGAAGAUAGUGGCGAACGGGUGAGUAACACGUGGGUAACCUGCCCAUAAGAGGGGGAUAACAUCCGGAAACGGGUGCUAAUACCGCAUAGUUUUCUUGAUUGCAUGAUUGAGAAAGGAAAGACGGCCUUUGUGCUGUCGCUUAUGGAUGGACCCGCGGCGUAUUAGUUAGUUGGUGAGGUAACGGCUCACCAAGACGAUGAUACGUAGCCGACCUGAGAGGGUGAUCGGCCACAUUGGGACUGAGACACGGCCCAAACUCCUACGGGAGGCAGCAGUAGGGAAUCUUCCGCAAUGGACGAAAGUCUGACGGAGCAACGCCGCGUGAGUGAAGAAAAGGUUUUCGGAUCGUAAAACUCUGUUGUCAGAGAAGAACAAGUUGGAGAGUAACUGCUCCAGCCUUGACGGUAUCUGACCAGAAAGCCACGGCUAACUACGUGCCAGCAGCCGC
rnacentral:rRNA from 1 species